rnacentral:rRNA from 1 species
GACGAACGCUGGCGGCGUGCUUAACACAUGCAAGUCGAACGGAAAGGCCCUGCUUUUGUGGGGUGCUCGAGUGGCGAACGGGUGAGUAACACGUGAGUAACCUGCCCUUGACUUUGGGAUAACUUCAGGAAACUGGGGCUAAUACCGGAUAGGAGCUCCUGCUGCAUGGUGGGGGUUGGAAAGUUUCGGCGGUUGGGGAUGGACUCGCGGCUUAUCAGCUUGUUGGUGGGGUAGUGGCUUACCAAGGCUUUGACGGGUAGCCGGCCUGAGAGGGUGACCGGCCACAUUGGGACUGAGAUACGGCCCAGACUCCUACGGGAGGCAGCAGUGGGGAAUAUUGCACAAUGGGCGGAAGCCUGAUGCAGCAACGCCGCGUGCGGGAGGACGGCCUUCGGGUUGUAAACCGCUUUCGCCUGUGACGAAGCGUGAGUGACGGUAAUGGGGAAAGAAGCACCGGCGAACUACGU